UAGGAUAGNGUGUAUUGGUAGCACGAAGAAUUUUG
rnacentral:tRNA from 1 species